UACAGGGGGGGCAAGCGUUGUUCGGAAUUACUGGGCGUAAAGGGCUCGUAGGCGGCCAACUAAGUCCGACGUGAAAUCCCAAAGCUUAACUUUGGAACUGCGUCGGAUACUGGAUGGCUUGAAUUCGGGAGAGGGAUGCAGAAUUCCAGGUGUAGCGGUGAAAUGCGUAGAUAUCAGGAGGAACACCGGUGGCGAAGGCGGGCCUCUGGGCCGAUACUGACGCUGAGGAGCGAAAGCGUGGGGAGCGAACAGG
rnacentral:rRNA from 1 species